AGCGAACGCUGGCGGCGUGCCUAACACAUGCAAGUCGAACGUGAAAGGGAGCAAUCCCAAGUAAAGUGGCGUACGGGUGAGUAACACGUAGGUAAUCUACCCCAGAAUCUGGAAUAACCGGCCGAAAGGCUGGCUAAUACUGGAUAGAGCGACGGAAUCCGUAAUUGGGUUUUUCGGGAAAGGGAGCCUGUAAAAAGGCCUUCGUUCUGGGAUGAGCCUGCGUCCCAUCAGCUAGUUGGUGAGGUAAAAGCUUACCAAGGCAAUGACGGGUAGCUGGUCUGAGAGGACGAUCAGCCACACUGGAACUGAAACACGGUCCAGACUCCUACGGGAGGCAGCAGUGGGGAAUCUUGCGCAAUAGACGAAAGUCUGACGCAGCAACGCCGCGUGAGUGAAGAAGGCCGUCGGGUUGUAAAGCUCUGUCGAGUGGGACGAAAAUGCCUGGAGUUCACAGCUCCAGGAACUGACGGUACCACUAAAGGAAGCACCGGCUAACUCCGUG
rnacentral:rRNA from 1 species